GGGCCCGUAGUGUAAUGGGAACACGGCACUCUGUCACAGUCGCAGAUGCGGGUUCGACUCCCGCCGGGUCCA
rnacentral:tRNA from 1 species